rnacentral:rRNA from 1 species
UGGACCUGGGUAAUAAUAGUUAUGUUCUUGAAACCCAAAGAAUUUGGCGGUAUUUUAUUCUUUUUUAGAGGAACCUGUCCUAUAAUUGAUAAUCCACGAUAAAGAAACACUUACUUUUGUAUUCAUUUUGUAUACCUCCGUCAUCAGAGUAUCUUUUUAGAGUUAAUAUUCUAAUCUUACAAAAUAUAAUAUGUCAGGUCAAGGUGCAAUUUAUAGGUAAGCAGAAGAUGGGUUACAAUAAAUUUAUUUAUAUGAAUUACUAUUUUUAUUAUUAGUAUGAAAGUGGAUUUAAAAGUAAAAUUAUUUAUUUAAUAUUUUGAUUUUAGCUCUAAAAUAUGUACACAUCGCCCGUCGCUCUUAUUUUAAAAUAAGAUAAGUCGUAACAUAGUAGACGUACCGGAAGGUGUGCCUAGUAA